rnacentral:rRNA from 1 species
UACGGGGGGGGCAAGCGUUGUUCGGAAUUACUGGGCGUAAAGGGCUCGUAGGUGGCCAACUAAGUCAGACGUGAAAUCCCUCAGCUUAACUGGGGAACUGCGUCUGAUACUGGAUGGCUUGAGUUUGGGAGAGGGAUGCGGAAUUCCAGGUGUAGCGGUGAAAUGCGUAGAUAUCAUCAGGAACACCGGAGGCGAAGGCGGCUCACUGGGGGUUAUCUGACGCUGAGGGACGAAAGCCAGGGGAGCGAACGGG